rnacentral:rRNA from 1 species
UACAGAGGGCCCAAGCGUUGUUCGGAUUCAUUGGGCGUAAAGGGUGCGUAGGCGGCGCGGUAAGUCGGGUGUGAAAUCUCGGAGCUUAACUCCGAAACUGCAUUCGAUACUGCCGUGCUUGAGGACUGGAGAGGAGACUGGAAUUUACGGUGUAGCGGUGAAAUGCGUAGAUAUCGUAAGGAAGACCAGUGGCGAAGGCGGGUCUCUGGACAGUUCCUGACGCUGAGGCACGAAGGCCAGGGGAGCAAGCGGG